UACAGAGGUCCCAAGCGUUGUUCGGAUUCAUUGGGCGUAAAGGGUGCGUAGGCGGUGGGGUAAGUUGGAUGUGAAAUCUUGGGGCUUAACCUCAAAAUUGCAUUCAAUACUGCUCCGCUCGAGUUCUGUAGAGGAGAUUGGAAUUUACGGUGUAGCAGUGAAAUGCGUAGAUAUCGUAAGGAACGCCAGUGGCGAAAGCGAAUCUCUGGGCAGCAACUGACGCUGAGGCACGAAGGCCAGGGGAGCAAACAGG
rnacentral:rRNA from 1 species